GUGCCAGCCGCCGCGGUAACACCGGCGGCCCGAGUGGUGAUCGUGAUUAUUGGGUCUAAAGGGUCCGUAGCCGGUUUGGUCAGUCCUCCGGGAAAUCUGAUGGCUCAACCAUUAGGCUUUCGGGGGAUACUGCCAGGCUUGGAACCGGGAGAGGUAAGAGGUACUACAGGGGUAGGAGUGAAAUCUUGUAAUCCCUGUGAGACCACCUGUGGCGAAGGCGUCUUACCAGAACGGGUUCGACGGUGAGGGACGAAAGCUGGGGGCACGAACCGGAUUAGAUACCCGGGUAGUCCCAGCCGUAAACGAUGCUCGCUAGGUGUCAGGCAUGGCGCGACCGUGUCUGGUGCCGCAGGGWWKCCGUGAAGCGAGCCACCUGGGAAGUACGGCCGCAAGGCUGAA
rnacentral:rRNA from 1 species